AAAAAUGCCCAGCCAACACCAUCCAAUUUGAUUGGGAAUUAUCUGUGUUACAAUAC
rnacentral:rRNA from 1 species